GAUUUUCACGAUACAGGUACUUUCCCAUAUCUGUCAAUGCACCAGCAGCAUCCACAGCAUCGUGAUUAGGAUGACGUAGACGAUUUCUCUCUAGAUAAGGCGUGGCAUCCCGAUCCUUACACAAAAAUCGCGACAAUAACACAUUAAACUCCUUAAUUUUUAUUUUUAAUAAUGUAAAUUAAUGCAUAGUUUUAAAUUUUCUUAAAUUUUUGGGUUUUAUUGCAGGUUAUUUUCGCUCUCGUUUCAAAUCAUCCGAAAAAAAUCCAGUUCAAAUUCCAUUUUGGAGUACAGGAAGUGAAUUUUCUGCGUGUAUUCACCGAGCAAAACAAGAAAAUUAGGUCUUCUUCUAAGGAAAUGUUAUAUUUAUAGAAUUUUUCAAGCAAUUUUUCGAGUUAUAAAUAGAGAUAAAAAUGGAAAUAUUUUCGAGAGUAACGAACGAUAUUCAUCAUAUUCACAUCAUAUUUUUAUACAAGUAACCGGCUACAUUGUUCCAUCAACGGAGAAAGUGCAUUUUUACCAGCUCAUGUGUGUGUUAUUCAUAUAAAAAGCAAGCAGGAAAUUUUGUGUAUAAAAAGGGAACGGGGUCAAAAUACGCGAGAAGAUAGAAAAUUUAACAGAAAUUAUAUUCAAAGCAAAGUACGGAUCCUCCAGAUCCGGAACUAUGUACAACAUGAAAUCAAAUAUCGUUCGACAUAUUUCUUCAUUAAUCCCAACGGGUGAUGAUCUCCAUCUU